rnacentral:rRNA from 1 species
UACGUAGGAGGCAAGCGUUGUCCGGAAUUACUGGGUGUAAAGCGCGUGUAGGUGGUGGGCCAAGUCUGUGGUGAAAUCGCCCGGCUCAACUGGGCGAGGUCCGUGGAAACUGGUCGACUGGAGGACGGUAGAGGCGAGUGGAAUUCCCGGUGUAGUGGUGAAAUGCGUAGAGAUCGGGAGGAACACCAGUGGCGAAGGCGGCUCGCUGGGCCGGUCCUGACGCUGAGGUGCGAAAGCGUGGGGAGCAAACAGG